rnacentral:rRNA from 1 species
AUUGAACGCUGGCGGCAGGCUUAACACAUGCAAGUCGAGCGGGGUGAUGGUGCUUGCACUAUCACUUAGCGGCGGACGGGUGAGUAAUGCUUAGGAAUCUGCCUAUUAGUGGGGGACAACAUCUCGAAAGGGAUGCUAAUACCGCAUACGUCCUACGGGAGAAAGCAGGGGAUCACUUGUGACCUUGCGCUAAUAGAUGAGCCUAAGUCGGAUUAGCUAGUUGGCGGGGUAAAGGCCUACCAAGGCGACGAUCUGUAGCGGGUCUGAGAGGAUGAUCCGCCACACUGGGACUGAGGCACGGCCCAGACUCCUACGGGAGGCAGCAGUGGGGAAUAUUGGACAAUGGGGGGAACCCUGAUCCAGCCACGCCGCGUGUGUGAAGAAGGCCUUAUGGUUGUAAAGCACUUUAAGCGAGGAGGAGGCUCUUUUGGUUAAUACCCAAGAUGAGUGGACGUUACUCGCAGAAUAAGCACCGGCUAACUCUGUGCCAGCCGCCGCAGUAA